rnacentral:lncRNA from 1 species
CAUCUCGCCCUCAUUGCAGUCACUGUCGUCGGUGCGAUGCCCCGCCCUUGGCUGCUGUAGAACUGAAUAAAUUACAUGUAAUUUUUUUGAGGGAAUAAGUUACAUGUAAUUUGAAUUAGUAGACAGAGACAAGAUGAUGUCCGUCCCAGCCCGUACUGCACUGGUGUUCGAACCACCCUGCCCUGGGGUUUGGCGUAGACCUCCAGGCCCAGAAAAACACAAUGAUCAGAAGGAUUGGUAGAUUCCAACACAGUAGCCAGCAUCUGAAUCGACCUUGACAACCACCAGAGCGAAACACAGCAACAGUAAACUAUUUCUGAAGACACAAUUCAGGAGUUUCUCCACUUUACUUGAAAAAACAUACAAACAGAGCACCUCCGCCAUGAGCAUGUCCACACAGUUCAAGAAAGACAUAUCCUAGCUCUACCUUUAUAACAUGGUAGUAUAGCACAAUCCCCGUCAUAUAAAAUGAUAUGUAUAGGUUGCUAGGCGAAAGCAAAUAUAUCAGUUCCGACCUAACAAACCUCUUUCCAACUUGCUCUAAUUCUUAUUGAGUCUGACUAACUAUGAAGAAACGGGAUCAAAAGAAGAAGAAAAUACUGGCAAAUUUUGACUGUCUAAACUAUCUCCAACACGCCGUUUUUCACCGCAAAAAUAGGAAGCACUUUGUACGCAGAACAUUACUGAAUCACCUUGAAUUGAACAGAACCAUCAAAACUGAAACCACACCCUUUCCAAAGCAGCAAGGUUCAGAACACGGUACCAAUAUCAACAGAACAUACAAGGAGAAAUCACCGAGACUAAGACCUCGACAUCGACGGAAGGAGCACCUGAAAUGAAUCAAACGAAGAACAGUGAAUCAGGGGCGCGAGAUUGGAACCGAACCGAUUACGAAUACAAUACCUGCGACUUACCCGACAACGAGAGGUGGAAGAGAGGCGAGGAGAGGAUCCAGUCAAGGAGCCACCGGUCUUGG